rnacentral:misc_RNA from 1 species
AUUUAUUUAAAACCCCAACUGGAAAGAUUGGCUGCUGAUUAUUACCCCAGAUUGCAAUUCUACUGCAUUGAUGUCAAUAUGGUGCCACACAAGCUAGUUGUUCGUGCCGGAUUAGCUAAGAUGCCAGCUAUACAGCUAUGGAAGGAUGGUAAGAAGCAAGACGAGGUGAUUGGUCUCUACAAAGCAUAUUUAGUUGUCAACGAUGUUCGGAAAAUGAUUGAACUUGAGCUAACAGGCGAGUGACUUACGAUUCAUUUCCAUCCGCACCCUCUUAUCCACUUAGUGG